rnacentral:lncRNA from 1 species
UCCACUGACUGUCUCGUUAGAUUAAUCCAAUAAAUUUCAUUCACUCCGCAUACUCAAUCCUACAGACACCCUUUUAAUUCUUCAUCACAGACGUAACUCGAUUCCAUAAAACAGUCAAGAGUAAUCAAACCCACUUCAUUAAAAAUCCCGAUUCACCAUUACAACACUGACUUCAGCAACGAUUGCCUCAGUCUUCCCAAAACUCUAUGAAGAAAAAAAACCCAAUUCUCUGUCUUUUUUUCCCUUCCCGAAGCAUGAAGCUAGCUCUCUGAUCC